GGUCUUUUGGUCUAGUGGUAUGAUUCUCCCUUAGGGUUUAACUGUCUGGGAGAGGCCCCGUGUUCGAUCCACGGAAAGACCC